UACGUAGGGUGCAAGCGUUGUCCGGAAUUAUUGGGCGUAAAGAGCUCGUAGGCGGUCUGUCGCGUCGGCUGUGAAAAACCCGGGGCUCAACCCCGGGCCUGCAGUCGAUACGGGCAGACUAGAGUGCGGUAGGGGAGACUGGAAUUCCUGGUGUAGCGGUGAAAUGCGCAGAUAUCAGGAGGAACACCGGUGGCGAAGGCGGGUCUCUGGGCCGAUACUGACGCUGAGGAGCGAAAGCGUGGGGAGCGAACAGG
rnacentral:rRNA from 1 species